GACGAACGCUGGCGGCGUGCCUAAUACAUGCGAGUAGAACGCUGAAGGAGGAGCUUGCUUCUCUGGAUGAGUUGCGAACGGGUGAGUAACGCGUAGGUAACCUGCCUGGUAGCGGGGGAUAACUAUUGGAAACGAUAGCUAAUACCGCAUAAUAGCAGUUGUUGCAUGACAACUGUUUGAAAGGAGCAAUUGCACCACUACCAGAUGGACCUGCGUUGUAUUAGCUAGUUGGUGGGGUAACGGCUCACCAAGGCGACGAUACAUAGCCGACCUGAGAGGGGGAUCGGCCACACUGGGACUGAGACACGGCCCAGACUCCUACGGGAGGCAGCAGUAGGGAAUCUUCGGCAAUGGACGGAAGUCUGACCGAGCAACGCCGCGUGAGUGAAGAAGGUUUUCGGAUCGUAAAGCUCUGUUGUAAGAGAAGAACGAGUGUGAGAGUGGAAAGUUCACACUGUGACGGUAUCUUACCAGAAAGGGACGGCUAACUACGUG
rnacentral:rRNA from 1 species